ACAUGUCCGGAAUCCGAAGAGAUUUGGUAGUGCUCGCAAGAGAACCGGAACACAGGUGCUGCAUGGCUGUCGUCAGCUCGUGUCGUGAGAUGUUGGGUUUAAGUCCCGCAACGAGCGCAACCCUUGUCAUUAGUUGCCAUCAUUUGGUUGGGCACUCUAAUGAGACUGCCGGUGACAAACCGGAGGAAGGUGGGGAUGACGUCAAGUCCUCAUGGCCCUUAUGGGUAGGGCUUCACACGUCAUACAAUGGUCGGUACAGAGGGUUGCCAACCCGCGAGGGGGAGCUAAUCCCACAAAGCCGAUCGUAGUCCGGAUCGCAGUCUGCAACUCGACUGCGUGAAGUCGGAAUCGCUAGUAAUCGUGGAUCAGCAUGUCACGGUGAAUACGUUCCCGGGUCUU
rnacentral:rRNA from 1 species